rnacentral:rRNA from 1 species
UACGUAGGGGGCUAGCGUUGUCCGGAAUCAUUGGGCGUAAAGCGCGUGUAGGCGGCCCGGUAAGUCCGCUGUGAAAGUCGGGGGCUCAACCCUCGGAUGCCGGUGGAUACUGUCGGGCUUGAGUGCGGAAGAGGCGAGUGGAAUUCCUGGUGUAGCGGUGAAAUGCGCAGAUAUCAGGAGGAACACCAAUUGCGAAGGCAGCUCGCUGGGACGUGACUGACGCUGAGACGCGAAAGCGUGGGGAGCAAACAGG